rnacentral:rRNA from 1 species
UACGAAGGGGGCUAGCGUUGCUCGGAAUUACUGGGCGUAAAGCGCACGUAGGCGCUUCUAAGUCGGGGGUGAAAUCCUGGAGCUCAACUCCAGAACUGCCUUCGAUACUGGAAAGCUCGAGUCCGGGAGAGGUGAGUGGAACUGCGAGUGUAGAGGUGAAAUUCGUAGAUAUUCGCAAGAACACCAGUGGCGAAGGCGGCUCACUGGCCCGGUACUGACGCUGAGGUGACGAA